GAUUAUGGCCAUACCACACUGACAACGCCCGAUCUCAUCUGAUCUAGGAAGCUAAGAAGAGUUGGGCUGGGUCAGUACUGGGAUGGGAGACCGCCUGGGUAUACCCGGUGCUGUAAGCA
ensembl:rRNA 5S_rRNA 5S ribosomal RNA